GGAAGUAAAAGUCGUGACAAGGUUUCCGUAGGUGAACCUGCGGAAGGAUCAUUAAUGUGUUUGGGCCUCACGGCUCUUCAUUCCGACGCUGUGCGCCUUCGGGCUGCACGCUGAGGGAGCAUAUAUCCACCCCUGUGCACACACACGGUGGCGAGCUGGGUAACGGCUCGCCGCUGAUCUUUACACACGUCUAAAAGUCAUUGUAUGUUUAUUUGAGAUAAAAACACAACUUUCAGCAACGGAUCUCUUGGCUCUC
rnacentral:misc_RNA from 1 species